AGACAGUCGGGGGUCUCGGCUGGUGAGGCGGACGGCGAACUCGACGAUAGGGACGAGGUUUCCGACUGCGGGGUUUGAGAUGAAUGCCAACUGGGCUUUCGCCAUUGGUCUGAAGGCCGAUAAUAUUCGCCCCAGGGCGAUUUGAUAUAACACAAUUAUCGGAUGUUUAUGGCUCAUGCAAGUAUGCCAUUCUAUCUCAUAUAUUAGUUGCUUCCUGCAUUUGACUUUUAGUUAGACAGGUCAUACUUGUGCUAGUAAUGGAAAUUAUGCCCUGGUUAACCGCUCUCUUGAUUUCAA